UCUUGGAUGGUGCAAUGGUAGCAUUUCCGCCCGUCUUCGAUUUCAACCUCGCUGGUUGUCUUUCAAUACGCCCGCGGGAGAUCGUAGUUCAAGUCUACGUCUGAGAG